rnacentral:rRNA from 1 species
UAACGGCGAGUGAAGCGGCAACAGCUCAAAUUUGAAAUCUGGCUCCCUCGGGGCCCGAGUUGUAAUUUGCAGAGGGAGCUUUUGGCGUCGGUCGUGGUCUAAGUUCCUUGGAACAGGACGUCACAGAGGGUGAGAAUCCCGUACGUGGCCGCCGGCCUUCGCCUUGUAAAGCCCCUUCGACGAGUCGAGUUGUUUGGGAAUGCAGCUCUAAAUGGGAGGUAAAUUCCUUCUAAAGCUAAAUACCCGCCAGAGACCGAUAGCGCACAAGUAGAGUGAUCGAAAGAUGAAAAGCACUUUGGAAAGAGAGUGAAAAAGCACGUGAAAUUGUUGAAAGGGAAGCGCUUGCGGCUAGACGUGCCCGCGGUUGAUCAUCCAGGCUCCGGCCUGGUGCACUCCUCCGCGGGCAGGCCAGCAUCAGUUCGGGCGGUCGGAUAAAGGCCUCUGUCACGUACCACCCCUCGGGGUGGCCUUAUAGGGGAGGCGCAACACGGCCAGCCCGGACUGAGGUUCCGCGCAUCUGCUAGGAUGCUGGCGUAAUAGCAGCAAGCGGCCCGUCUUGAAACACGGACCAAGGAGUCUAACAUCUAUGCGAGUGUUUGGGUGUCAAGCCCGAGCGCGCAAUGAAAGUGAACGGAGGUGGGAACCCUCACGGGUGCACCAUCGACCGAUCCUGAUGUCUUCGGAUGGAUUUGAGUAAGAGCAUAGCUGUUGGGACCCGAAAGAUGGUGAACUAUGCCUGAAUAGGGUGAAGCCAGAGGAAACUCUGGUGGAGGCUCGCAGCGGUUCUGACGUGCAAAUCGA